CGUCGCCAUAUUGGACGAGAGUAUGACAGAAGAUGUGUUACGUCGUAUUCCGUAUGAUUGAAGGAAAUUAGUUUUUGUUCAAGGAUGUAAACACACUCAUCGGGACACAUUCCAUAAAUUCAUGAAGUAGAAUAGCGCAUAUUCUCUAUUAUCCUGAAGCAGGAUGUUCAUUGUGCAAGGAUCAACGAAAAAUUUCGAAUCAUUAUUGCGAUAAUGCGCGAUGAAAUGAAUAAAUCGAGCGUCGUGAGUUAAAAACGAAAGGGGAGGGGGGAGAAAAGAAAAAGAAAUCGCGAAGCAGAGUUAGCGUUCGUUUGUAUAAAAUCAAAAUUUUUAUUCGUUUCGCGAUUUAAAUUAAUUUUAAUAAACGUACGUACUUAAAUCGACUGCG